rnacentral:tRNA from 1 species
UCCGAUAUGGUGUAGUGGCCAACAUGAUGCCCUCUCAAGCCCUUGAGAGGUUAGGCAUAGCCCCGAGUUCGAUUCUCGGCUUCGGAA